CAUUUUCUCAAUCACUUCAUCUGCUACCCCAUGGUUGAUUAACUGUUGCACCCAACAGUAAAAAUGAACUACUGAAUCCAUAGACGUAAAAAAAGUAUAAUUGUGUUUCAAUUAGGAAUCUGCUGGGAUUCAUCUACGGAAACUACAUCGAAUUCGACCUCUGGUCUGAUGUAUCUGGAUGGGAUGUUGUUGAGGUUCUUGGAUGCAAGAGUUUGGACAUUCUCAACUGGUAAAGAAUUUAACAUAUCUGUGCUCUGCACUUUUGUUUCCAUUGCUGUAAAGCUCUCUCAAGUUCAACACUACCCUCAAAUUAUCGUGUUAAUGCGCUAGAUACAACAAUCUUGUUAUUUCAAACAUUGGAAACAAGUUGCAAAAGAAGAGAUUUAACAUGGACGAAGAGCUGGUAAAGCCAAUAAGAUUUUUAACUAGAGCUUCAUUUGAUUCAACAUCCCUGGACCUUUCCCGCUAAGCCUCAGUAUCAGGAAUCUGCUGGGAUUCAUCUAUGGGAAC